rnacentral:rRNA from 1 species
GAUGAACGCUGGCGGCGUGCCUAAUACAUGCAAGUCGAGCGAACGGACGAUAAGCUUGCUUCUCUGAUGUUAGCGGCGGACGGGUGAGUAACACGUGGAUAACCUACCUAUAAGACUGGGAUAACUUCGGGAAACCGGAGCUGAUACCAGAUAAUAUUUUGAACCGCAUGGUUCAAAAGUGAAAGACGGUCUUGCUGUCACUUAUAGAUGGAUCCGCGCUGCAUUAGCUAGUUGGUAAGGUAACGGCUUACCAAGGCAACGAUGCAUAGCCGACCUGAGAGGGUGAUCGGCCACACUGGAACUGAGACACGGUCCAGACUCCUACGGGAGGCAGCAGUAGGGAAUCUUCCGCAAUGGGCGAAAGCCUGACGGAGCAACGCCGCGUGAGUGAUGAAGGUCUUCGGAUCGUAAAACUCUGUUAUUAGGGAAGAACAUAUGUGUAAGUAACUGUGCACAUCUUGACGGUACCUAAUCAGAAAGCCACGGCUAACUACGUG